rnacentral:rRNA from 1 species
UACGGGGGGGGCAAGCGUUGCUCGGAAUCACUGGGCGUAAAGCGCACGUAGGCGGCUUUUUAAGUCAGGGGUGAAAUCCUGGAGCUCAACUCCAGAACUGCCUUUGAUACUGAGAGGCUUGAGUCCGGGAGAGGUGAGUGGAACUGCGAGUGUAGAGGUGAAAUUCGUAGAUAUUCGGAAGAACACCAGUGGCGAAGGCGGCUCACUGGUCCGGUACUGACGCUGAUGUGCGAAAGCGUGGGGAGCAAACAGG